GCCCUCUCAGGGUCACAGCUGGAAAGUUUCCAGUACUCUACCAGUCUCGACACUGGGAGGGAUAGUCAAGCAGAGGCAUACCCAUUCCUUUCCCAGCUUGGCCACUGGCUAGCGGGUGGAAGGCAAUCUGCUACAAGU